GUCAGUUUCAAGGCGUUUUCUCUCUCGAGGGCACAGACCUAGCCCGUGUCCCUUUUCCAGGGAUGUGGUAUGAAGCAGCGGAGCUGAUCCGGGCCUCGAUUGUGGGGUAUCUGACGCUUCCUCAGCCGGACAGGAAGGGCAUCUCCACCUCGCUGGGGAUACUGGCCGACAUCUUCGUGUCCAUGAGCGAGCACGACUACGAGAAGUU